rnacentral:tRNA from 2 species
GGGUGUGUAGCCGGAUAGGUCUUAGUUUUGCAAAAGCUAAUGUGAGUUUUUUAUAUUCUCCACGCCUU